AGUGAACGCUGGCGGUAGGCCUAACACAUGCAAGUCGAACGGCAGCACAGUAAGAGCUUGCUCUUACGGGUGGCGAGUGGCGGACGGGUGAGGAAUACAUCGGAAUCUACUUUUUCGUGGGGGAUAACGUAGGGAAACUUACGCUAAUACCGCGUACGACCUACGGGUGAAAGCAGGGGAUCUUCGGACCUUGCGCGAUUGAAUGAGCCGAUGUCGGAUUAGCUAGUUGGCGGGGUAAAGGCCCACCAAGGCGACGAUCCGUAGCUGGUCUGAGAGGAUGAUCAGCCACACUGGAACUGAGACACGGUCCAGACUCCUACGGGAGGCAGCAGUGGGGAAUAUUGGACAAUGGGCGCAAGCCUGAUCCAGCCAUACCGCGUGGGUGAGGAAGGCCUUCGGGUUGUAAAGCCCUUUUGUUGGGAAAGAAAAGCAGCAGGUUAAUACCCCGCUGUUCUGACGGUACCCAAAGAAUAAGCACCGGCUAACUUCGUG
rnacentral:rRNA from 1 species